rnacentral:rRNA from 1 species
AGACACUAUAACAGGUGGUGGCAUGGCUGUCGUCAGCUCGUGUCGUGAGAUGUUGGGUUAAGUCCGCAACGAGCGCAACCCCUUUCCUUAGUUGCCAUCAGGUAAUGCUGGGGACUCUAAGGAUACUGCCCCGGUUAACGGGGAGGAAGGUGGGGAUGACGUCAAGUCAGUAUGUCCCUUACGUCCAGGGCUACACACGUGUUACAAUGGCCGGUACAAUGAGUUGCGACCCUGCAAAGGUAAGCCAAUCUCAAAAAACCGGUCUCAGUUCGGAUUGCAGUCUGCAACUCGACUGCAUGAAGUUGGAAUCGCUAGUAAUCGUAGAUCAGCACGCUACGGUGAAUACGUUCCCGGGCCUU